CGCCCCCUUCGAGGCGGGGCCUGGCGAUCCUGCUCAAAUACUCUUCUGUGCCUUGUGUGCAGGACGUUUCAAAGGCCACGUGUCCAGGGCGCCGGUGCGGAUCAGAGGUCCCAUGGAUAACGGAGAAGACUCUCACGAUUGUCCUCCUUAUGUGGGUGAGCAUCACUGAAGCAGUUGAAGGCCUGAAUAGAAGACUGACUCUGCAGAGUAAGACAGAAUUAUCCAUCAGCCUACUUCAGACCUCACCUGCCUACCUCAGUUCUUCCUGCCUGAUGGCCUUCAAAUCAAAAUACUGGUUCUCUGUGGGUCUCCAGCCUGCCUGCUUGACUCCAUAAUUGUGAGCCAAUUUCUCAUGAUAAAUCAUGAUAUGAGCUUUGCAACAUAUAUAAAACAUGAUAAAUCCUGUUUAUA